AGAGAGAGAGAGAGAGCGCUGAUGCAGAGUUAAGGAGGCAGAGCCCAGCUGCACACCUUGCCCGGCCAAAGCUGCAGGAAGCUCCUGCACCCUCAGCCCUGGCGGUACCAGGUAGAGGUCAGAGCAGAACAAAAGGGAAAAAGAGAAAGGCCCCGCGGGAAGUGUCCUCUCUGUACUGGCCAGUAUUCGGGAGUGUGAUUAUUUACAUCUUCCAAGGAGACACCUGUGAACAGCCUGCCUCCACUCAGGCCACCUCCCAGCCGGUGAGGGUUCUCAUGCAGCUGGGGCUGCCAGCAAGCUAACUGUGUAGCUGAGGAUGACCUUGAACUUCUUACUCCCGUCUCCACCUCUGGAGUGCUAGGAUUACAGAUGCAGUGUGAUCAGCCUCCCUCUUCUGCCACCACUCCUCCUCACAGGAUGGACUGCAUCCUCAGACUAUGAGCCAACAGAAGCCCUUCCUUCAAUAACCCCUUUCCAGG